rnacentral:rRNA from 1 species
UUGCUCCCUUUUCUCACGGCGGACGGGUGAGUAACACGUGGGCAACCUGCCCUGCAGACUGGGAUAACUCCGGGAAACCGGAGCUAAUACCGGGUAAUACUUAGCAUCGCAUGAUGCAACGUUGAAAGUUGGCCUUUGGCUAACACUGUAGGAUGGGCCCGCGGCGCAUUAGCUAGUUGGUAAGGUAACGGCUUACCAAGGCCACGAUGCGUAACCGACCUGAGAGGGUGAUCGGCCACCCUGGGACUGAGACACGGCCCAUACUCCUACGGGAGGCAGCAGUAGGGAAUCUUCCGCAAUGGACGAAAGUCUGACGGAGCAACGCCGCGUGAGUGACGAAGGCCUUCGGGUCGUAAAGCUCUGUUGUUAGGGAAGAACUAGUACCGU